GUUGGUAAAGUUCUGCUUUAACUUUCAGUAAAAUAAAAAACUUUCCUAAAUCUUUUCUCAGAACCCACCCAAGGAUUUCAGUUAAAGACUUCCAAAUAACUCAACUGAAGGUGGAUAAUUAGCGCAGCAAAUUUCAUCUCAAAACCUACUGGUAACAGAAAAUGGGAAAAUCGGACUCGUGAUCAGAAGCUUGGAGGAAACAAUAACCCUAAGUAUUGAAUUACUCAACAAUUUUCCAGACCAUAAACCUGUUGCAUACCACACUGGCAUAUUGACAGUCUCACUGUGUUACGUAAUUUACUGUCUUUGGGGAGAUGAGAUUUGGGAUAUUUUUUGGCCAUUACGUUCAACUAGAGGCGAAAAGAAGACCAUGGCGUCUUGCAAGCUUUAGCUUAUGAGAACUAAGCAACAGGAAAUGAAAAUGGAUUGAAAUCCAUCAUGACAGGACUGAAAGUUCAGCAAAAUUUUUCAUUCUUUCUUUCUUUUUGCACACUAGCCUCAGCUUUGGUGCAUAUCAGGAGCACAUCAGAUAUGUUCUACUGUUUUCAGACUUAAUUAUGUUUUACAUAAACCAAGAGGAAACUACUUUUCUUCCCAAAGGUGAAGAACUAUCAGUGUGAAGAAGUAUAUUCACUGGAGUAAGCCUAUGACACAGCUAUUGAUACUCUAGCCUUUCUCUUACAGUUUGCAAACCAGUCAGUAUUCUUUUGAGCUACUCCAAAGAGCAUCCUGUGUCUGAG
rnacentral:lncRNA from 1 species